rnacentral:rRNA from 1 species
UACGAACUGUGCGAACGUUAUUCGGAAUCACUGGGCUUAAAGGGUGCGUAGGCGGCUGCCUAAGUCAGGUGUGAAAUCUCCCGGCUCAACCGGAAAACUGCGCUUGAUACUGGGCGGCUCGAGUGAGGUAGGGGUGUGUGGAACUUCCGGUGGAGCGGUGAAAUGUGUAGAUAUCGGAAGGAACGCCAGCAGCGAAAGCGGCACACUGGGCCUUUUCUGACGCUGAGGCACGAAAGCCAGGGGAGCGAACGGG